ensembl:lncRNA
CACCAUUCAAGAGUAGAGUGUGCACACAGUGUAAGAAUCCACAAUUGGUACCGAUUUUAAACUUUUACAGCCUAUUUCUGUUAUUUUUUGGCAUGUGAACUUAAGAAUUUUGUAAACGCAUUUCCCCUUUCGGCGAAAGGUAUCUGGUAUUGUGGAAAGAGCGACGCUUCUCGAGUCGUGACUGCUUGUGAGUAACACGCGUACUGCGUCAGUGGCGGCUGGCACCGCGCGCUCGAGACAGAUGGAGGGAAUCGUGACAGAUUGGAGGAGCCACAAAUGAAAGUCCUGGCCAAUCCAAUCCGCAGAAGAGGCCGUAGAGUAGGCCUACAGGAACUUUGGGGUUGCAAUCGAUAUGCUUUCUUAAAUAACCCUUAUUUUUCUCACGCAACGAAAUACAUCCAACAGGCAAAAGCUACUGUAUGUUAUAAAGAACGUAGCCUACGAUAGGGUGUGAUAUAAAAAUAUUAUCUUUUGCAAUCCCUGGCUCACACAAGCGUAGACAUUGGCUCUCAAAACAAAAAGACAACUCAGACUGGGUUCCGAUCGCUCUUACAGACAACCCAGCUGCUAAAGGCAAUGAUCAGCCGUUUGUGAAGAUCGUUUUCAAAGUAAACACUGCGGAUGCCGGCUCAAUUAGUAAUUGACUGUCUUUGCAAUGUUCGCGAGAACACAAAUCUCCUGCAGGUGGGAAGGAAUUCCAGCAUUGACUUUAAUGUGGAUGUCCAGUGGAAUAUGUAAUAUUACAAAUACGUUCCUGUGAUAAUUAAUGCUUUUUAGUACUUGAGUUUGAAUGUAUAUUAAGGGGAAAUGUAGUGCCUCAAAGCGGGAUGAAGCAUGUAUGUUGUCCGCAGAUGUAAUCAUCCAUUAACUAAAUUAAAUAGGCUCCUUCUCUCACACCCUCAGAUAGUUCGUUUGCUUAGGGGUCAGGCUGAUUUGAUUGCAGUUGUUUUGUACGAGAUGCUCCAAAUUCUUGCACAAGGCAAGACACGGGUAAUAGUUUUUCGAAAGCGUUCUUCAGCUGUGCACAUACAAAACACUCAGUUCCGAACUGAUCCCUUUGGGGGGUUUGUUUAGAACCAUAUUUGUUAAGGGUUCUCGUGGAACCCACAAGCGUUCUGCCUAGAAUCAAAGGUGUUCUAACUAGAACAAACGGGUUAUCCAAAGGGUUCCCCCACAUUGCAAAUCAAACCUUUCCAAACCCUUUGGAACCUUUUUUGUUUGUGUCUUUCUUUCUUUCGUUUUUUUGUUGGAGGAGGGGGGGUCCCUACUGGGAUGUGUAGCGAUUGGUGGGCCACGAUGACGAGUUAUAUACUCUCCAAUGAAAGCUUUCGCUGCCAUCUAUUUACUGGGUGUUGGAACAGAGUAGCGUUUCUGCCUAGUGCACAGCCAUCCGCAGGCAGCCGGAGACCGGCUCUCCAUCAGGCGAUGUUACGAGUAAGCGAGGACGUAGGCUUACUGCGAUGGAUGCUGCUUUAGUGAGAAAACAACGUUUUUGUUGCCUGAAUCGAUAUGGUUAAGUCGAAUGAGUUUGCAAUAUUGGUAAACCAAGGCAAGACUCUUGCGCGAAGAGAACUGAGUGUUGUAGGCUACCAAUUUCUGAACAGAUGCACUUGGUGUGGAUGAGAGACAGUGGAAGCCAGAAGACUCUUUUACGGUAGUAGUUCGUGGAGUGAAGUGGAUCUGGACCCAUAGAUUGUCCGUCACGAAUCUUUUUGCGGUCUGGGCUUGCUGUUCAUAAAAAUCCGUGUGGGAAGCCCUUACCCCAAAAAGCAUUUGUGGAGGACUAAGUCGCCGAAUUGAAUAUAUUGCAUUCAUUGGUCACUGAUAUUGUUGUUGUCAUAUCAUUACAAAUGUUUAAUUGUUGAUGGAUUUUUUAGUUAAAUAAUACUUACAGUAGAGAAGAGUUCUGAGCGCGUCAAAAUACUGAAAUUGUUAAACACCUGUUAAUCCCUUCUAGAUGACACACGCAAGCACACACACACACACACACACACACACACACACACACACACACACACACACACACACACACACACAGUCAGUUGAAUAACUUUCCAAGCUGCCAUUGUACUUCUAUGUUUGACUUCUAUGUUCAAAUACGUUUCUAUAGGCGUAGAAAUGAACUGAACUGAUCAAAAUCACAGGUUAAAAGUGUGUCAUUGAUGGUUUUUGAAGUAAGGCCAACCUAUUCUAUUACAAAUAGGGAAUUAAUUUACAACAUGGUACUUUUGUAACCUGCUAUUAUAGGAAAACAAUUCAAAAUACCAUCACUAGUGGGAUGGCAUCAGAAAACAUAAUUAAUUUAAUUGUUGUUCAAAUAAUACGUUUAUGAAAUCAAGCUUAUAUUGUCUGACACACGUGCCGGAAUAUGCCUGCAAAUGUUUUAUUGUUUGUUUAUUUUUUAUUUUCAAUAUUUGUUCAUAAUUAAAUUAUAUCUCACAAGUUCGUACUAGUUAUGCAUUCUCAAAAAAGUUAUUUGUGAGUAUUGUAUGAGUGUGCUGUUUAAAUAAAAUGCUGAUUAUGGACGUGUCCUUCUCUCUUCUUUGCAUCUGUAGUAACAAUCAAGAAUUAAAGACGCUCACUCGGUCAGUGACUGACAUAGUGGUUCAAGGUUAUGCUCGGCCAAGGUGAUUGUUUAACAAGUCCAACUAGACUAGGGACCCCUACUUUUUUUCUUGGUAACAAAAGACCUGGUUAUUAAAGCUUUUGUUCCGUAGCAGCUCUAACACACCUGUUUGCACGAAUCAAUUGAUGCAGUCUUCUGAGUUGAAGACAUUUGCUUUUAAUUUAAUUGACUUGUGUUUUUUUUAAAGAAAAGGUAAGAUGCGUCCUAUACGUUAUCUAAAUGGUUUAAUUAAGUACUGAACCAAACACAUAAUAACGCCUUCUAUAUCUAUGUAUGGAAUGAUAUACAUGCCAUAUGUCUUGUGUUUUUUGUAGCCUAGUCGAAAACCAUGCUUCCCUAAACAUGAGUCACGCAACACGCGAUACGUGUAACUAUAAGUGUUGAAAUACAAGUGUUUUACAAGUAUUUCUGUAAAUGCACAACCUUAACAAAAUGUCUUCCAAUAAGUUGGAAGUUGUAAAACCGCUGAUUUUGUUAAUGAUACAACAAUAUGUUGUAUGAAAGAAAACAUUAUUUAAAAAUGCAUGAUCCCAAAAUAUGCUAUAAAGAAUAUGUUAUGCAUUCCGAAUGCAAUUUUUUUUAAACAUUGCUCCAGUAGUUAGCCACACAACCAAAUGUCAACAAAGUAAAUACACACUGAAAACACUAUGAACUUCAGAAUGCUGACUACCAUUAAUCUGCAAAUGGUUUUUAUUAGUGGAAAUACAUGUAACAAACACUGCCCACUGGUUGUCUGACAUUAACAUCAGCUUCAAUCAGCUGUCCAGAGCCUUAAUUAGUUAAUUCUGGUAAAAACACAGUUCCAUUUUAUUUAUUUGACAUUUUAAAAACACAAUGGUAACUAAAAUCAUAGUGUAUAGAUUACUUUUUAUUUCAUUGACAAUGGCAUAAACAAUUCCAUUGUUUUAAUUACCAGACGAAGGCUUCACUGAUAGUAAUAUAGAUGCAGUACAGACUAUUAAGUGAGACUUCUCUACUGUCACCAGAGGAAGAUGUAAACAUUCUCAAACAUCUGGCUUCAACUAUAAUUGCUUCACUCUCUGCAUCUUAUAAUAAUCAUCACAAACAUGUUUACCCUUCACAGAGUCUUGGGAUAACAGUUUGAUCUCUGAGUUCUGUUCACCUGAGAAGUCAUGUCACUUAAUGUUGAAUUCUUACGAAAAGCUCAGAGGGACACAGUCGAAGAGAAAAUUAAAACCACCCCUCAAACUAGGGACCUGUUAUCAUGUUUCAGACAAUAUUAAGGCACCCAGGCUAAGAGACAAGUGGAUAGGUAGAGAGGUGUCUGUCCAAUUAAAGAUGGAGAAAUGGGGACAUAUAGAUAUACUAUACAGAGAGAAAUACACACACACACACACACACAGAGACACUAAAAUGCUCAACAAAUCACUAGUCCCAAUCUCAAAACAAAAACAAGGAUGUGUCCUUUUUUAGGUCCAGACAGGUGAAUUGAGUCCAUAAACCAUUUUAAUGGACUGAGUGUGGUUAGCGCUUUCUCUCCCUCUUUCUGUCUGUGUGUUUCUGUGUGUCUGCCCUCCACGGUAAACAAGUCUUGAAUCAGACUGUGCCUGUUCCAUUUUUGUAUGUUUGGCUCACUAAUUACGGACUCAGAGUGCUGAGUGCCAUUCGAGCUCAUAGUGCCCAGUCGAAGAACUUUCAUAUGAGAAAGUGAGAGAGAGCACACAGUAGCCCAUACCUACUCAGACUGACUGACUGGGAAAUAAUCUUGUUUAGUCUUGUCUGGAAAUGAUAUACAUGUUCUGUUAUUUUGUCAGUACAGGCAACAAAUAGUUAAUUUGUUGCCUGUAGUUUAUACCUUUUGUGUUACUCAUAAAGUAGACAGGGCUUGAUCCAUGCAUGCUUCUGGCACAGUGUAUUCAGAAUGAAUCAACUUAGACCUUGAUAUUGAGAAAGACUUGUUUUUACUUUUGGUAGAAUAUGAUUACUUUAAUGUGUUUAUGAAUUUCUGUAAAUAGCUCCAUGUUAGUUAUUGUUUGUGAUUAAUAAUGAUAUGUUCUUUUAGUUGUCUGUUACACCAUUUGUCCAGUGGAGAUUUGCUUCAAAGUUGAAAUAAAGUAUUUAAAUAAACACCAAUUGCCGAUCUAUUUCUUUAAUACAGUUUUCUGAACUUGC